rnacentral:lncRNA from 1 species
AAAGAGAGCACAAGGGAGAAAAAUGUUCCAAUGAGAUCUUCACCUGCAGCAGAAGCAUGAAAGAUGCUGUCAGCAUGCUCCUGCUUUUAGCUCCUCACAUGUCCAAUUGGCAGUGUGUAACCAGCAUGGUCAUACACCUGGCCUUGAUUCAGGCAGGCAAUUCCUCCCUGGUGGCAAAGGAUACUGAAGUCUUAUAAGGAGCAUUUGUUCUGUAUGGUUGGAUCAAGGCUCGUCAGCUUAUACCGCUUGAUGCUUCCUGC